rnacentral:rRNA from 1 species
AUGUAAUGCAAUGCCUAUAGUGUUAAUGCAUCAAAUACCAUUAAAACUCUGUAAUUAAGUGUGCUUGGGCUAGAGUAGUACUGAGAUGGGCGAGCUCUCAGGGAUUCCUAUUGUUUUACAUG